GUCAAAAAUCUUGGACCGAUUACAUUUUGAGCCGAGUUCAAACGCGAAUUUUAACCGCACCGCUUUUAAUAAUCCUUUUCUUCCACAUUUCACAGUUCGUGAAGGGCAAGCAAACCAAAAAGCCUAAAAUAGUUAUUGACUUUGAACUUUAUCUUUUCUUAGAUUCAAGGAUUGAAAGAUCAAAGAGAAGCAAAACGAGAGCGUGAUUUAUCAAAUUCGACAAAAAAAAAAGUAAUAAAUCGAACGGAAAUGGAGAAAGAGAGCGAGUUGAUUCGGCGAUGUAUAGAAGCAGCUUGCCAAAGCAAAGAGAGCGUGGAGAAAUGGCGGAGACAAAGAAGAACUCUGGAGCGAUUGCCUUCUCACCUUUCUCAGUCUCUGCUUCGGAACCUCCUCCGUCGUCGCCUUCUCUUCCCUUCCUUGCUCGAAGUGUUCAAAUAUAGUGUGGAGGAGAUAGAUCUUAGAGGAGAGAAUUCUGUUGAUGCGGAAUGGAUGGCGUAUUUAGGCGCAUUUCGUUAUCUACGAUUACUUAAUCUCGGUGAUUGUCACAGAAUUAAUAAUUCUGCUAUUUGGCCCAUAGUAGGGAUGACUAGUCUAAAGGAGGUGGACCUUUCGCGAUGCAUGAAGGUUACUGAUGCUGGCGUUAAACACCUUAUAUCCAUUUCAACUUUGGAAAAGUUAUGGAUUUCAGAGACUGGGGUAACUGCGAAUGGGGUUGCGCUGCUUGCAUCACUUAAGAAUUUGUCUGUAUUAGACUUGGGUGGUUUGCCUGUUACAGAUUCCUCAUUGAAGUCUCUUCAGGCAUUGACAAAGCUACGGUACCUUGAUCUUUGGGGGAGUAAAAUAUCUAACCAAGGGGCUUUGGUCCUUCAAAGGUUCCCUAAACUGAGCUUCCUCAAUCUUGCUUGGACCAAUGUUACACGCUUUCCAAAUUUGUCUGCUCUUGAAUGUUUGAAUAUGAGUAAUUGUACCAUUGAUUCUAUCCUUGAAGGCAAUGGUGAUAAAGCUCCUUUGCUGAAACUUGUUUGUGCUGGAGCAACUUUCAUGAAUGAGGCUGAGGCCUUUUUAUAUAUCAAGACAAGUUCCUUAUCUUUGUUGGAUGUAUCCAAAUCUUCCCUUAGCCGGUUUGGCAUUUUAGCUGAUAUGCAAAUGCUUGAACAUUUGGAUCUCAGCUCUGGCACCAUGGGGGAUGAUUCUGUUGAAAUGAUUGUAUGUAUUGGAGCCAAUCUGAAAAAUCUAAAUCUAAGCAGCACAAGAGUCAGCUCUGUCGGAAUCGGGAUUUUAGUCGGACAUGUUCCCAAACUUGAAAAUUUAUCUUUAUCUCACACAGCAAUCGACGAUGUUGCCUUGUCGUAUAUCGGCUUGAUGCCUUCACUUAAGUUUAUCAACUUAAGCAGCACAAACAUUAAAGGUUUUAUUCUCCAGCCAGGUACUGAGUCGCAUGUGGAUAGCACACUAACAGCACUUCAAAAUCUUAGUUAUCUGGAGAGCUUAAACUUGGAGCAUACACAAGUUAGGGAUCCGGAUUUGCACCCUUUAUCGAGUUGCAAAAAACUGAGCCAUUUAUCUCUCAAAUGUGCGUCUCUUACAGAUGCCACUUUGCAUCUCCUUUCGUCUCUCCCAAAGCUGACAACACUUCAUGUCUGUGAUGCUGUGUUAACAACUAAUGGUCUGGACGCAUUUAGCCCACCAACAACACUGAGAGUACUGGACCUGAUGGGUUGUUGGCUUUUAACUGAAGAUGCUAUCUCACAAUUCAUAAAGAAACAUCCUCAAGUUGAGAUACGACACGAAAUUGUUCAAAACCUUUCAACAGAGCAGCAAACAAUUUCGAACUGCCUAUCCACAUCACAACAAUCUUUGAAGGGACCUCAAUGGAACAAAAAGCAGGGAAAUCUGCCUAUGCCUCAGUUUUUUGUUGAUCAAAGAUUGAAAUAUAACAGAGAGGAGCUACUUGCGCUACAGUUUUCACCUCUAGCCCUUCAAUCUCCCCAUGAUGCAGUUACUGUGCCACCGCGUAUAAUCGUUGAUAGUGACGGUGUUUCGCUUGACAAUCCAGCAUAUGUUCAAUAUGAAUAGAAGACUCUGUUCUCUUGGCGUGGCUUCUCUGCACAGUAAGUGCCUCGCUUCACAAUUAACUAAUUGGAAGUUUUUCAUUUGCAUAUGUUCUGUGGGAAGCUUUGAUAAGAAUAUUUGGCACCUAAUCGACAAUUAAGGCUAUGCGAUAUCAGUCUCUUCUUAAUCAUUUCAAAAAGAAUGAUUUUUCCAUUUCGACAUAUCUGGUAGAAAUAAAAUAUCUUUGCAAUUCCUUAGCUGGAUGUGGUCAACUUGUGUCAAUCGAAGAGCAACAGUCAGCCAUUCUCAAUGGUCUUCCUCCAAAGUUCGAUCAUGUGGUCUCUAUCAUCACCAUAAGUCAGGUUCCUUUUGAUUUGCAAGGAAUCGCAACAGCUCUACUUGAUGUCGAAGCAAAACAACAGGCUCAUCUUUCUCAUGUUAGUUUCUCUGCUAAUUUUGUUGAAGCAGAUAAGACGUCUUCCACUUCUUCGAAUCUUCUUGGGUAUGCUGGUCACCCACCGCCACAAUUAUUUAGGUUGACUCGAGGCUCUGGUUAUUUUUGUGGAGGGGGUCGUGGUCGUUCUCGGUCGCAGUGUUAGAUUUGCGGCAAAAUCGGGCAUUUAGCUCAUCGGUGUUACUAUAGGAUCUGGCAACUCACAGGAUGAUAUUUCAAGGUGUUGAGUCCAAUGGAUUGUAUCGUUUUUUUCCUGCCACCUCUAAUUUUUUACUCAACUCUACAACAACGACGAAUGCUGACUUAGGUCAGAAAUUUGAUUUGUUUAGUCGAUGGCACCAGCGACUUGGUCAUCCAUCAUGCGAUGUUGUUCGUCAAGUUUUAAAUUCUUGCAAUAUUAGUAUACCUAAAAACAAAUCAUUUACUCUUUGUAAUGCUUGUGGGCUUGGUAAAGGGCAUAAACUACCCUUUGCUGCUUCUUCAUCUAUGUAUUCUUCUCCUCUUGAGCUUAUGGUAACUGACUUAUGGGGUCUUA